rnacentral:sRNA from 1 species
CUCGGGCGAAGCGAGAGAACGUUGCGCCAGCAACGGCCCGCAGGGCGAGCCACGAAGUGGCGAGUAAUCCUCUAUCACCGACCA